rnacentral:rRNA from 1 species
AGCGUACACGGUGGAUGCCCUGGCAGUCAGAGGCGAUGAAGGGCGUGCUAAUCUGCGAUAAGCGCCGGUAAGGUGAUAUGAACCGUUAUAACCGGCGAUACCCGAAUGGGGAAACCCAGUGUGAUUCGUCACACUAUCAUUAACUGAAUCCAUAGGUUAAUGAGGCGAACCGGGGGAACUGAAACAUCUAAGUACCCCGAGGAAAAGAAAUCAACCGAGAUUCCCCCAGUAGCGGCGAGCGAACGGGGAGGAGCCCAGAGCCUGAAUCAGCAUGUGUGUUAGUGGAAGCGUCUGGAAAGGCGCGCGAUACAGGGUGACAGCCCCGUACACAAAAGCGCAUGUGUUGUGAGCUCGAUGAGUAGGGCGGGACACGUGGUAUCCUGUCUGAAUAUGGGGGGACCAUCCUCCAAGGCUAAAUACUCCUGACUGACCGAUAGUGAACCAGUACCGUGAGGGAAAGGCGAAAAGAACCCCGGCGAGGGGAGUGAAAAAGAACCUGAAACCGUGUACGUACAAGCAGUGGGAGCACAGGUUUACCUGUGUGACUGCGUACCUUUUGUAUAAUGGGUCAGCGACUUAUAUUCUGUAGCAAGGUUAACCGUAUAGGGGAGCCGGAGGGAAACCGAGUCUUAAUUGGGCGUUAAGUUGCAGGGUAUAGACCCGAAACCCGGUGAUCUAGCCAUGGGCAGGUUGAAGGUUGGGUAACACUAACUGGAGGACCGAACCGACUAAUGUUGAAAAAUUAGCGGAUGACCUGUGGCUGGGGGUGAAAGGCCAAUCAAACCGGGAGAUAGCUGGUUCUCCCCGAAAGCUAUUUAGGUAGCGCCUCGUGAAUUCAUCUCCGGGGGUAGAGCACUGUUUCGGCUAGGGGGCCAUCCCGGCUUACCAACCCGAUGCAAACUGCGAAUACCGGAGAAUGUUAUCACGGGAGACACACGGCGGGUGCUAACGUCCGUCGUGAAGAGGGAAACAACCCAGACCGCCAGCUAAGGUCCCAAAGUCAUGGUUAAGUGGGAAACGAUGUGGGAAGGCCCAGACAGCCAGGAUGUUGGCUUAGAAGCAGCCAUCAUUUAAAGAAAGCGUAAUAGCUCACUGGUCGAGUCGGCCUGCGCGGAAGAUGUAACGGGGCUAAACCAUGCACCGAAGCUGCGGCAGCGACGCUUAUGCGUUGUUGGGUAGGGGAGCGUUCUGUAAGCCUGUGAAGGUGGCCUGUGAGGGUUGCUGGAGGUAUCAGAAGUGCGAAUGCUGACAUAAGUAACGAUAAAGCGGGUGAAAAGCCCGCUCGCCGGAAGACCAAGGGUUCCUGUCCAACGUUAAUCGGGGCAGGGUGAGUCGACCCCUAAGGCGAGGCCGAAAGGCGUAGUCGAUGGGAAACGGGUUAAUAUUCCCGUACUUGGUGUUACUGCGAAGGGGGGACGGAGAAGGCUAUGUUGGCCGGGCGACGGUUGUCCCGGUUUAAGCGUGUAGGUGUGUGUUCCAGGUAAAUCCGGUUCACUUUAACACUGAGGCGUGAUGACGAGGCACUACGGUGCUGAAGCAACAAAUGCCCUGCUUCCAGGAAAAGCCUCUAAGCAUCAGGUAACAUCAAAUCGUACCCCAAACCGACACAGGUGGUCAGGUAGAGAAUACCAAGGCGCUUGAGAGAACUCGGGUGAAGGAACUAGGCAAAAUGGUGCCGUAACUUCGGGAGAAGGCACGCUGACACGUAGGUGAAGUGAUUUACUCAUGGAGCUGAAGUCAGUCGAAGAUACCAGCUGGCUGCAACUGUUUAUUAAAAACACAGCACUGUGCAAACACGAAAGUGGACGUAUACGGUGUGACGCCUGCCCGGUGCCGGAAGGUUAAUUGAUGGGGUCAGCGCAAGCGAAGCUCCUGAUCGAAGCCCCGGUAAACGGCGGCCGUAACUAUAACGGUCCUAAGGUAGCGAAAUUCCUUGUCGGGUAAGUUCCGACCUGCACGAAUGGCGUAAUGAUGGCCAGGCUGUCUCCACCCGAGACUCAGUGAAAUUGAACUCGCUGUGAAGAUGCAGUGUACCCGCGGCAAGACGGAAAGACCCCGUGAACCUUUACUAUAGCUUGACACUGAACAUUGAGCCUUGAUGUGUAGGAUAGGUGGGAGGCUUUGAAGUGUGGACGCCAGUCUGCAUGGAGCCGACCUUGAAAUACCACCCUUUAAUGUUUGAUGUUCUAACGUGGACCCGUGAUCCGGGUUGCGGACAGUGUCUGGUGGGUAGUUUGACUGGGGCGGUCUCCUCCUAAAGAGUAACGGAGGAGCACGAAGGUUGGCUAAUCCUGGUCGGACAUCAGGAGGUUAGUGCAAUGGCAUAAGCCAGCUUGACUGCGAGCGUGACGGCGCGAGCAGGUGCGAAAGCAGGUCAUAGUGAUCCGGUGGUUCUGAAUGGAAGGGCCAUCGCUCAACGGAUAAAAGGUACUCCGGGGAUAACAGGCUGAUACCGCCCAAGAGUUCAUAUCGACGGCGGUGUUUGGCACCUCGAUGUCGGCUCAUCACAUCCUGGGGCUGAAGUAGGUCCCAAGGGUAUGGCUGUUCGCCAUUUAAAGUGGUACGCGAGCUGGGUUUAGAACGUCGUGAGACAGUUCGGUCCCUAUCUGCCGUGGGCGCUGGAGAACUGAGGGGGGCUGCUCCUAGUACGAGAGGACCGGAGUGGACGCAUCACUGGUGUUCGGGUUGUCAUGCCAAUGGCACUGCCCGGUAGCUAAAUGCGGAAGAGAUAAGUGCUGAAAGCAUCUAAGCACGAAACUUGCCCCGAGAUGAGUUCU